UGGCCAAGAAGAACAACCCAGCUGAGCCCAGUCAACUUACAGAAUCAUGAAGCACAGUGUGCAGGCUCCUGCUUCUGCCUCCAUGGGCUGAGCUCAGCAGGAUAUGAACAGAAGCAAGCAGAGGAUGAAGCUGAUGGUGUUCAUGGUAAGAAAGGAGGGCUAGCCCUGAAUGUGCUUAACAUAUGCAGGAUGCGUAUAGACAGGUAGCUGGAUUAGGUGUAUGCUGGAAAGAAGGGCUACACCCCUGACUCUGUGCACAGGUGUGUCACAGGUGGGGAGCCAGGAAAAUACCAAUCCAUUCAGGUGCAACUUUUGAUUGAUCAGAAUCUGUCAAUAUCACAAUGAAUAUUUACACAGAGCUUUGUAAUUUUCAAAGCCUUUUUCUAUAAUAUAUUGUCUUAUUUAAUCCUCAUAAUCUUGCAAAGCAAGUAGUAUUUUUGUCCCCACUUUAAAAAAUUCCUAAGGCACACCUAGUCAUUGUGAAGCCUGAAUCAAAACCUAGUUCCCAGACUCAUGUCCAUCUGUCACCUGUCACCACUAG
rnacentral:lncRNA from 13 species